CCGAAUUAUGUUUCUGACUUUUUAAGACGUUUUUGACACCAGUUAAGAUUUGAGGGCUACUUCUGAACACAAUUCUGACGGCUGUCUCUCUAAAGAGUAGCUGCGUGUGAGCUGCAAGGUGCUGUCCUCCUGGCUCUGAUUGGCCGGUUGGUCCUGCAGAGAAGUGGCUCGUAACAAAGCACCCAGGCCUCUCCGGACUGAUCCUCGCCGGGCUUACACUCUGCGUCCUUGAUGGCUUUCUGGUACAGCUCAGAGAAACUCCUGUGG